UACAGAAGCCUCAAGCGUUACCCGGAUUUAUUGGGUUUAAAGGGUGCGUAGGCGGCUUUGUAAGUCAGUGGUGAAAUACGACAGCUCAACUGUCGAGGUGCCAUUGAUACUGCAGAGCUAGAGUACUGAUGAGGUAGGCGGAAUGGACGGUGUAGCGGUGAAAUGCUUAGAUAUCGUCCAGAACACCGAUAGCGAAGGCAGCUUACUAAAGAGUAACUGACGCUGAGGCACGAAAGUGUGGGGAUCAAACAGG
rnacentral:rRNA from 1 species